AGAGCGAACGCUGGCGGCAGGCCUAACACAUGCAAGUCGAACGAACUCUUCGGAGUUAGUGGCGGACGGGUGAGUAACACGUGGGAACGUGCCUUUAGGUUCGGAAUAACUCAGGGAAACUUGUGCUAAUACCGAAUGUGCCCUUCGGGGGAAAGAUUUAUCGCCUUUAGAGCGGCCCGCGUCUGAUUAGCUUGUUGGUGGGGUAAUGGCCCACCAAGGCUACGAUCAGUAGCUGGUCUGAGAGGAUGACCAGCCACAUUGGGACUGAGACACGGCCCAAACUCCUACGGGAGGCAGCAGUGGGGAAUCUUGCGCAAUGGGCGAAAGCCUGACGCAGCCAUGCCGCGUGUAUGAUGAAGGUCUUAGGAUUGUAAAAUACUUUACACCGGUGAAGAUAAUGACUGUAGCCGGAGAAGAAGCCCCGGACUAACUUCGUGCCAGCCAGCCGC
rnacentral:rRNA from 1 species